GAGAUGGAGUUGGUGCCUUCGGGAACGUCUGACACAGGUGCUGCAUGGCUGUCAUCAGCUCGUGUCGUGAGAUGUUGGGUUAAGUCCCGUAACGAGCGCAACCCUUGUCCUUAGUUACCAGCACGUUAUGGUGGGCACUCUAAGGAGACUGCCGGUGACAAACCGGAGGAAGGUGGGGAUGACGUCAAGUCAUCAUGGCCCUUACGGCCUGGGCUACACACGUGCUACAAUGGUCGGUACAAAGGGUUGCCAAGCCGCGAGGUGGAGCUAAUCCCAUAAAACCGAUCGUAGUCCGGAUCGCAGUCUGCAACUCGACUGCGUGAAGUCGGAAUCGCUAGUAAUCGUGAAUCAGAAUGUCACGGUGAAUACGUUCCCGGGCCUU
rnacentral:rRNA from 1 species